GAUGAACGCUGGCGGCGUGCCUAAUACAUGCAAGUCGAGCGAACGGACGAGAAGCUUGCUUCUCUGAUGUUAGCGGCGGACGGGUGAGUAACACGUGGAUAACCUACCUAUAAGACUGGGAUAACUUCGGGAAACCGUAGCUAAUACCGGAUAAUAUUUUGAACCGCAUGGUUCAAAAGUGAAAGACGGUCUUGCUGUCACUUAUAGAUGGAUCCGCGCUGCAUUAGCUAGUUGGUAAGGUAACGGCUUACCAAGGCAACGAUGCAUAGCCGACCUGAGAGGGUGAGCGGCCACACUGGAACUGAAAAACGGUCCAGAAUCCUAAGGGAGGCAGCAGUAGGGAAUCUUCCGAAAUGGGCGAAAGCCUGACGGAGCAACGCCGCGUGAGUGAUGAAGGUCUUCGGAUCGUAAAACUCUGUUAUUAGGGAAGAACAUAUGUGUAAGUAACUGUGCAAAUCUUGACGGUACCUAAUCAGAAAGCCACGGCUAACUACGUG
rnacentral:rRNA from 1 species